rnacentral:rRNA from 1 species
UACAGAGACCUCAAGCGUUAUCCGGAAUCAUUGGGCGUAAAGCGUACCGAUAGGUGGUUAUACAAGUCAGAUGUGAAAUCUCCGAGCUCAACUCGGAAUCUGUCAUUUGAAACUGUAUGACGUAGAGGGGCAAAGAGGAAGCUAGAACGAACGGUGUAGUAGUGAAAUGCGCAGAUAUCAGGAGGAACACCGGUGGCGAAGGCGGUUCUCUGGGCCUGUACUGACGCUGAGGAACGAAAGCGUGGGGAGCGAACAGG